AACUUUCAACAACGGAUCUCUUGGUUCUGGCAUCGAUGAAGAACGCAGCGAAAUGCGAUAAGUAAUGUGAAUUGCAGAAUUCAGUGAAUCAUCGAAUCUUUGAACGCACAUUGCGCCCCUUGGUAUUCCGGGGGGCAUGCCUGUUCGAGCGUCAUUAU
rnacentral:rRNA from 6 species